UACGUAGGGGGCAAGCGUUGUCCGGAAUCAUUGGGCGUAAAGAGCGCGUAGGCGGCCCAGUAAGUCCGCUCUGAAAGUCAGAGGCUCAACCUCUGAAUGCGGGUGGAUACUGCUGGGCUAGAGUCCGGAAGAGGCGAGUGGAAUUCCUGGUGUAGCGGUGAAAUGCGCAGAUAUCAGGAGGAACACCGAUUGCGAAGGCAGCUCGCUGGAACGUUACUGACGCUGAGACGCGAAAGCGUGGGGAGCAAACAGG
rnacentral:rRNA from 1 species